rnacentral:rRNA from 1 species
UACGGGGGGGGCAAGCGUUGUUCGGAAUUACUGGGCGUAAAGGCGCGUAGGCGGCCUGCUAAGUCGGAUGUGAAAUCCCUCGGCUCAACCGAGGAACUGCAUCCGAUACUGGCGGGCUUGAAUCCGGGAGAGGGAUGUGGAAUUCCAGGUGUAGCGGUGAAAUGCGUAGAUAUCUGGAGGAACACCGGUGGCGAAGGCGGCAUCCUGGACCGGUAUUGACGCUGAGGCGCGAAAGCCAGGGGAGCAAAGCGGG